CCGCGGGUUUGUAAGUUCAGGAACUUCCGUUCUGGGCGGUUAAGAUCCUCCUCUGGACGCAGCCUCUCGCGUGUGUACCCGCGCGACCGUCGGAGUCUGACUGCGGGGCCCACCCCUUCUUAGCCACCUCAGAACGAGCUCCACAAACAAGAACCCCGGCAUCAAAAGGAGGACCUAAUUUAGCCUGCAGAUUCUCCUGAGAGUGUCAGGUGCUGGAGCUAAAAUGGCAGAGACUGUGGGAAAGAGAUCUUCACAGAAUCUUACAACAUCCCAGAUUGGAAGGACUUUGUCUCCUAUGAUCAACUGAAAAAGAAGACUGUUGUGACAGAGCAAUGGGCAACAAGUGGGACCACUCCCUACCCUUCCAGCUCACUCCCAGUGGGCUCGUGAUUCCAAUAAUGUUCUCACAGGACCUUCAACCUACUGAUCCAACCAUCUUCCCCAUUGUCCCUAACUGCACAGCCUCCUCCCUUAUUUUUUUCUCUCCUCAAUCAGCUUAAGUUCAUUGCCAAUCAUUAUCAUUCCUUUGAAAAUUUUGAAUGUGGACUGAUAAUUAGUAAAUAUUAAAGAAUUAUCAUUAGUUUUGUUGUAUGUGAUAGUGGCAUUGUGACUGUGGUUUUUAAAAGUCCUUACUUAAAUACACCUUGAUGUAUUCAUGGGUGAACUAGAAUAACGCCUGGGAUUUGCUUAAAAUUCUCAGGGUAAAGGAAAUGUGUGGUGGCAUAGAUGAAAGAAGAUUGCAAAGUGUUUUUAAUUGUUGGAUUUGGGUGAUAGACUCAAGGGAGUUCAUUAUAUUAUUUCUAAUAUUGAGUAUGUCUGACGAUGACAUAAUAAAAAGCAAAAUAAAUAAGCUAAAAAUAAUGCAUUCUUUUGAAUAUCCUCUCAAUUUCCUUGAACUUUUCUUGCUUUCUUGCUUUAUGGUAUUCAUUUGGCAAAACCUCAAUCACAGUUGAAUUCAAUUCCCCACCACGUUGCUCCUGUACCCAAUAAACUGAAUAUGGUU